GGGAACUAGAGAGAAGCCAGAAGAACUGUGGACAAAGCUGCAUGUGGAACAGACUGUGACUGCCUGACAGCACAGGUUUCUUCAUUGUAAAAUCAACUUGUGAAGGGAGGAUAUCCAAUGCAUGAUGGCUAUCUCCUGUGGGUGAAGCACACAGGGAUACCUUCCUGACAUCCUGUCUCCCACACCCUGGCCUUGCACUGGGGAACUGCACCAGUCCCCCCACAAGGAGGAAUUCCAUGCCUGCUGAGGACAAGUUAUUGGAAAUAUGAUAAUAAAAUAAGAAAAUGAAGAAACAAUCAAACAUCAGUUCUCUGUGGCCCAGACUCAGACAAGUUUCAGUGGAACUACUAUUAUUCCAUGUAGCUCAGAUUCACUGACAUCAAUUAGACUACUUAUGUGCUUAAAGUUAGGCAUGUGCUUAA